GGCAGACGGGUGAGUAACAUGUAGGUAUCUGCCCUUUGGCCUGGAAUAACACGAGGAAACUUGUGCUAAUACCGGAUAAGUCUUUACGGAGAAAGCUUUAUGCACCAUUGGAUGAGCCUGCACUUGAUUAGUUUGUUGGUGGGGUAAUGGCCUACCAAGACUGUGAUCAAUAGCUGAUUUGAGAGGAUGAUCAGCCACAUUGGGACUGAGACACGGCCCAAACUCCUACGGGAGGCAGCAGUGGGGAAUCUUGCACAAUGGAGGAAACUCUGAUGCAGCGAUGCCGCGUGAGUGAAGAAGGCCUUUGGGUUGUAAAGCUCUUUCGUCGGGGAAGAAAAUGACUGUACCCGAAUAAGAAGGUCCGGCUAACUUCGUGCCAGCAGCCGCGGUAAUACGAAGGGACCUAGCGUAGUUCGGAAUUACUGGGCUUAAAGAGUUCGUAGGUAGUUGAAAAAGUUGGUGGUGAAAUCCCAGAGCUUAACUCUGGAACUGCCAUCAAAACUUUUCAGCUAGAGUAUGAUAGAGGAAAGCAGAAUUUCUAGUGUAGAGGUGAAAUUCGUAGAUAUUAGAAAGAAUACCAAUUGCGAAGGCAGCUUUCUGGAUCAUUGCUGACACUGAGGAACGAAAGCAUGGGUAGCGAAGAGGAUUAGAUACCCUCGUAGUCCAUGCCGUAAACGAUGUGUGUUAGACGUUGGAAAUUUAUUUUCAGUGUCGCAGCGAAAGCGAUAAACACACC
rnacentral:rRNA from 1 species